CAGAACGAACGCUGGCGGCAGGCUUAACACAUGCAAGUCGAGCGCCCCGCAAGGGGAGCGGCAGACGGGUGAGUAACGCGUGGGAAUCUACCAUUUGCUACGGAACAACAGUUGGAAACGACUGCUAAUACCGUAUGUGCCCUUUGGGGGAAAGAUUUAUCGGCAAAUGAUGAGCCCGCGUUGGAUUAGCUAGUUGGUGGGGUAAAGGCCUACCAAGGCGACGAUCCAUAGCUGGUCUGAGAGGAUGAUCAGCCACACUGGGACUGAGACACGGCCCAGACUCCUACGGGAGGCAGCAGUGGGGAAUAUUGGACAAUGGGCGCAAGCCUGAUCCAGCCAUGCCGCGUGAGUGAUGAAGGCCCUAGGGUUGUAAAGCUCUUUCACCGGUGAAGAUAAUGACGGUAACCGGAGAAGAAGCCCCGGCUAACUUCGUGCCAGCAGCCGCGGUAAUACGAAGGGGGCUAGCGUUGUUCGGAUUUACUGGGCGUAAAGCGCACGUAGGCGGACUUUUAAGUCAGGGGUGAAAUCCCGGGGCUCAACCCCGGAACUGCCUUUGAUACUGGAAGUCUUGAGUAUGGAAGAGGUGAGUGGAAUUCCGAGUGUAGAGGUGAAAUUCGUAGAUAUUCGGAGGAACACCAGUGGCGAAGGCGGCUCACUGG
rnacentral:rRNA from 1 species